rnacentral:lncRNA from 1 species
UCAUUUCAAUCAACGAUAAUUUUUAUUAAUUUAUCUACGUAUAUUAUAAUAUUGUGUAAAUCAUAUGAAUAAUAUAAUAUUUUAGUAAUAGUAUUCGAACAGUUAUUAUAAUUAUUUUUUAGAAUAAACUUAAAUUUUAGGUGUACGUAUAUAUUAUUAUUAAUAAUAUGUUACAGUGUUUACAGGGAUGUUACGGGGAGGAGAGGGCUGACGCGCGUCCGUGUACGAUAUUACUAUUAUUAUAUGUAGGUAUUAUAGUAAGUACAACAACUCGAUAUUUUAUAUUACGUCUAAUGUCGCGGAUCCACGCAUGGAAUGCAAACAUAACACGCAACAAUACAUGUAAAUACAGGAAAAACUCAAUAAAAAACAGUUAUAUUAUCCUUUUACUAAAGGGGAAAGUAAUUUUCCAUUUUUUACUUAAAUGCAUUUCCUGUAGUUAUUUCAAAAUGUGGGGGAAGCGGGGUGAUAAACCGUUCACCUCCCUUAUCUGUGCCCCUGCAUAUCGCACACAUCCACAUAUUUCGCAUUUGUUUCAUAGCGGUUGGUUUUUCACGUGUUUUUAUUAUUGUUAUUACAUUAUGUUACAUUUGCAGAUUCAAGCGCGUGCGCUGCGUGUUAUGAUUGUAUUCUAUGGGUAUGCUCCUUUACAUCAUAUACGAUGUGAUUUGUGUGCGCAGUGGAGUGGAUUCGAAUUUUUCGGGGGUUGAGGGGUAUAUAAUUUAUAACUUUAUGGGUAAUUAAAAACCAAGCGUUACGGUAAUACACGUCAUUAUUUCAUUUAUAUUUAAAAAAAAUAUAUGAAAUCCGCAAAGCUCCUUCUUGCUAGUAAGUAUAUUAUAAUAUAGGUACCAAUAAAAGCAAUCUCACUGGAUUAUUUUAUGUGUGGAAUAAUGCAAAAAUUACUUGUUCGAUAAAGCAUUUAAUAUUAUUUAUAUUUUCUUUUUUUGUUUUUCGGGGAGAGGAGAGUUAAAUCUUUAAAAAACCCACCAAUCGUGUCAGAGCCACUGAGUGUGUGAGUAUGUGUGUGUAUUAUGCACAUGAAGUUAGGCAGUGGCGGAUCCAGACCAUAAUUCUUGGAGGGAGUAGAGCACAAUUAGAAAAAAUUAUAUUAUUUUUUGAAAACUUUAUAAAAACGUAUUAUGCUUCGUGUUUUGGGAGGUUGAUAAAUGUUGCCCCCUCCUUGGAUCUGCCACCGGAGUUAGAAUUGCGCGGAGAACCGUAGAUGGUCAUAUAAAAAACUGAAACAAUGUAUUUACUAGUGUGGGAUGGGGAAGGGGGGAAGUAACAUAAUUUAGGUACAUUAUUUUGUAUACAAAAUAUUAAUGAUAAUAAUAAUAAUAACAAUAAUGAUAAUAAUAAUAAUAAAAAUAAUAAUAAUAAUAAUAAUAAUAAUAAUAAUAAUAAUGAUAAUGAUAAUAAUAAUAGUAAUUGUAGUAGAUAUAAUAAUAACAAUAGUAGGUAGGUUAUAAUAAUAACAAUGACAGUGAAACUAUAAUAAUUUUAUACAGGUUAUAAUUUAAGCGGUGUGUAUAUAGGUAUAGUAAUAAUUUUAAGAACUAAGAAAUAAAUAAUUUACGAAUAAUGGCAUUGGAUGAUAAAGUGUUUUACAAUACCUGUCCCGGUUAAAUGUAUGUGUAAAUAAAUAAAUAAAAUAAUAAAUACAUAAAUAGGCAUACCUAUUUAUUUAGUUUAUGUUCUAAAAAUAAAAUCGCAUAUUAUGUAUUUUUAUCCUCGUGGAAUGUCUAAAGUCUCCGAAAAGUUGAAUGUCUUAAGGCCGGUAUUACACUGGACGGGCACAUCGGUCGAUCGACAAUAUUAUACCGUGUCGAACGUGUUGCCGAUUUGUCGAUUUACUAUUACAUACAAUCGCCAUUUCAUAAAAGCUACGAUAAUUUUAUUAAUAAUCGUUAUGCCACCAGCGCACACCGUGCGAUUGUCGAUUUAGUUUCCUUUGAUGUUUACCGACUUUCGGUCGAUCGGUCGAUUUGUGUUCGAUCGACAAGUAAAAUUGGCACGCUGGUCGAACGGAAUUCGGUAGCAGGUUUCGAAUCAACGUGUCGAUCGACUAAUGUCGAUCCAGUGUAAUAGCGGCAUUAAAAUUGUUUUUCUCUUACAUUAUAUUGUAUAUAUUACUGUAUUCAGAUGAUGUUUUUAUUACACGUAGGUUUGUUGGUUUUACUUAAGAUGCAAAUUCUCACGAUACAAAGGAAACGCAGGUGGGCUAGGUUAUAACACAGUUCAUUCAUAAUUCACACUACGUGAAUAGUAUAUUAGAAAAGAGAUUUAUUACACAUACACAAACACACACACACAUGACAACCUGAAAACGUCGAGAUACACGCGAUAUUAUGUUAUCAUAGUUAACCUAUAAUAAUAAUAAUUAUUGUUAACUGCUGCGACAAGAAUUUGUUUUAAUUUUUAAAUUUUGGACGGAGUACCAGUGGGUUCGUUAGGUAUGUUCGAAAAAUUUUUAUUUUACUUAUUAGUUAAUACAAUUUUCAAAAUUUUCCAAAUCCCGUAAACAAAAAUCGUAUUUUAUUGUUCUGCAAAACCAUUGAUAUAUUUAAAGGCGUCUGCACGUGGACUUUUGUUAUUUUUGGCUCACGGACAAUACGUGAUCUACUAAAUAUGGUCUACACCCAAAAUAUCUUCAUAAAUAAUUAUACACAGUGCCUAUAAUAAUUUUAUUCGCAGAAUACCUACUGAAUAAAAAUUACGUAAUAAACUCACAAAAUUAAAUUAUCUAUAAAUAGUUCAAUGUUUUGAUCAUUUUACCACGUCUAUAAAAGGCAAAUAUAUGUGUUCUGUCUAAACGUCAAAUCUUUACAAACAUUAUUAACCGAAUUCAAACAAAAAAAAAACAAAAUUAAAAAUAGCAAAAGCAUUUUUUUCGAAUAUUUUCCCGUUUUUCCAGAUUGUUAUAAAAUCACCUUAAAAAAUAAACACCAUUGUAAAGAAAAUACAUUCCUCGUUUGACUCAGAAUUUAAAAUUCAAAUCAAACGUGUCAUGUAAGAUUUUUUUCCUUUCCCAUCAGAAAAAUAAAUCAUCGUAAUCAAAACAUUCUACGAUAGGUAUGAGAAUUUUCCUGUAAAAUAAUAACAGCCGUGCGCAAACUCCUCAAUAUAAUGGCAACAGAAACUGAUUAAACUAUUUGUGACGAAUUCAUUUAAACUUGUUAAUAUUGUAAAUGUUAACAAUUUGGAAAAGCCACGAGCAGGACCUUUUUAUACGUUUUAUCGACAUUCAAUUAUGUAGUUUAAAUAUAUAAUAUAAUUAUUUUUAAUUUAUACGUACACCGCUACGUCUAUAAUAUAUAAGUCAUGCAUAUAAUAUAUUCAAGUGUGUUUUUUUUUAAAACACUAUUGUUGUAAGUUUAUAAGUAAAUCGAUAAAAGAAAAACAUAUGUAUUAUAUGUAUAUAUGUAUAUAUAUAUCCUAAACUCAAAUAGGGGAGAUCGGGUUAAGUGUAUAGCCCAUCAACCCCUCCUCCUCAACUACGACUCACACUGUACGAUACAAAUUAUCAUGGUACCAUAGUAUCGCAAUAUAUAUAUAUCAAUUAAUUUUAAUAAAGAUGAAUAUAGAAAAAGAUAGAUAGAGAGAGAGAGAUAGAGAGUUGAACGAUAUAAACGCGUUUACACUGAAAAUUACACGAAUAAAAAACCGUGACCGGCGACGAUGUGUAAAAAAAGGAAUUAAGACUUUUUUUCAACGAUUUCAAAAUUGUUUUCCGACAAACAAUAACUCCCGUACGACAUUACUUGUAGUGGGGAAGGAAUGGUGAACAUCCAGCCGUAAUUUUCGAUCUGAGAGGAAAACAUGUCUGAGUAGCUUUUGAUGGCUUUUUUUUCAGUUUGUUACACGUAUUUCCGACCUCGUUAAACAUUAUGUAAUUUACAGAAUCGAAAAAAAGGUCACAUUGUAUAGAGUGAGUCCCUCACGUCUUACGACGAACAGUUGAAAACCGAUCAUUUUUUAUCAUUAACCGUCGUACCUAUACAAAAAAAAAAAAAAAUAAUAAAAAAUGAAGUAAUGUUGUCUGUAACUAUUGGUGUAAUUGUUUUAAAUACGACCGUUUUUUUUAUAAAAACGUAGAUACCUAUAGUUGAUAUUUGGUUAGCGAUUAUUAAGAGAAGAAAACACAAAAACUGAGGGGAGGAGGAGAAAGUUACAUAAAAUAUCUAUUAUUCUAUUGUAUUAAAAUUAUAAAUUAUAAAUUCAAGCGGACGAAAGUAGGUGUAUACGGUUUAGACGGCGGAUUUGUCAUCAUGCUACAACUCUGGUUACUCGACAAAAACGACAAAAAAAAAAAAAGAAGAAAAAAACAUUUUUGCUAUGUAGGUUAGGUUAGUCCCAGUGUUGAAACUAUACAAAUAAGUAAAAAUUGUUCAAUAAUAAUUAUUUAAAACAAACACCUAAUAGAUGAGAAAUAUAGAUAAGUCAAUUAUUCAACUAUGUAGAAUAUAGAUAAUAAGAUAAUAAAAUAUAACAACGAAUAAAAUAAGCAUAAUUGUGUAAAUGCGAAAAGUAUACACGCCUAUAUAGCUGUUACACAGUAUAUACGUAAUAUUAUAAUAGUAACAUCGGUUUUAAAGCUAAUAGAGAUUUUAAUUUUAGAUAACGAAAUUUGCAAUAAAUUAUCUAAAUAUAUCAUAAAAAACCAAGAAUAAAAUAUCACUAUUUAGGUACCUGAGUCUCAACGCGACGGCUAUGACACGCACUAUAAGACGCGAUGGAAAACGACGACUAUGGAAUACCAAAAAUACCUACUCAACAUAAAACAUAAUGUCCACUCGGAAAAUUCAAAAUACCGUUAAAAAUUAAAACCGAAUAACGAAAAUUCACCUAAACCUAUAAUAAAUUAUUAAUUAUAUAAUAUGUAUAUUAAAAUAUACUAAAAUCGAUUAAACUACAGUGGCAUUAGGAGGUAAUCAUUUCAUUUUUUUCGCAUGCGGUUUUCCUAUACUUCAGUAUAAUAAAUUAUUAUCCUAUGGCAUUAUGUAUAUAAGUAUAUACCUAUGUUACGAGAAAAAAUAUAAUAAGACAAUUUUAUAAACAUUAAGUGCGACAGAUGAUUAACACAGCGGUGUAUUAUAAUCGAAAACCUAUUAGGAACAAGUGGUGCGAAGAUAAGUGUUUUGAUAAUUUUAUGUGACCGGCCGUUUCAUUAUGAUAACAUCUACUGAAAUCACAUUCAAAAGGCAUUGAUCUCUAUAGUGGCGGCGAUGGCGACGAUGACGGUGUGCAGUGGCCCUGCAGCAGAAAUUAGACCAUCAUAAUUCGAUUAUUAAACUCCCCAAAAUCAUUUCUCAAUCGUUUUUAUGUUAUCGCCCAGAGUCUUAAUAUUAUAUUGUACUAAAUUGAAACAGCGGAGUAUUUUACCGAGGAGGGAGUAAUUGAAUAUAGAAAUUGUCAUAUUGUACGGCUAGAAAAAAAAAAAAAAGAAAAACAGAGAAAAAACUACGUUAUAUGUAUUUUAGAUAAUAAGUGUACAAACACACGCGGACGAUACAGCAAGAAUGGUAUAUAUUAUUACGAUUAUUCAAGAA